rnacentral:rRNA from 1 species
CCUACGGGUGGCAGCAGUGAGGAAUAUUGGUCAAUGGACGAGAGUCUGAACCAGCCAAGUAGCGUGAAGGAUGACUGCCCUAUGGGUUGUAAACUUCUUUUAUAUGGGAAUAAAAUGUUCCACGUGUGGGAUUUUGUAUGUACCAUAUGAAUAAGGAUCGGCUAACUCCGUGCCAGCAGCCGCGGUAAUACGGAGGAUCCGAGCGUUAUCCGGAUUUAUUGGGUUUAAAGGGAGCGUAGGUGGAUUGUUAAGUCAGUUGUGAAAGUUUGCGGCUCAACCGUAAAAUUGCAGUUGAAACUGGCAGUCUUGAGGACAGUAGAGGUGGACGGAAUUCGUGGUGUAGCGGUGAAAUGCUUAGAUAUCACGAAGAACUCCGAUUGCGAAGGCAGUUCACUGGACUGCAACUGACACUGAGGCUCGAAAGUGUGGGUAUCAAACAGGAUUAGAUACCCUUGUAGUC